rnacentral:rRNA from 1 species
ACCUUGUUACGACUUCACCCCAGUCGCUGACUAUACCGUGGUCAAGGGUUUGAAACCUUGCCUUAAGGUAGAACCAACUCCCAUGGUGUGACGGGCGGUGUGUACAAGACCCGGGAACGCAUUCACCGUGGCACGCUGAUCCACGAUUACUAGUAAUUCCAGCCUUCAUGCACUCGAGUUGCAGAGUGCAAUCCGAACUGAGGUAUCUUUUAGGGAUUUGCUUAACUUCGCAGUCUUGCUUCCUGUUGUAGAUACCAUUGUAGCACGUGUGUAGCCCAACACGUAAGGGCCAUGAGGACUUGACGUCAUCCCCACCUUCCUCCAGCUUAUCACUGGCAGUUCUUUCAGAGUGCCCAACUUAAUGAUGGCAACUAAAAGUGAGGGUUGCGCUCGUUGCGGGACUUAACCCAACAUCUCACGACACGAGCUGACGACAGCCAUGCAGCACCUGUGUUUCGUCCGGCCGAACCGAAAACUCUAAUCUCUUAGAGUCGCGACGAACAUGUCAAGUGUUGGUAAGGUUCUGCGCGUAUCUUCGAAUUAAACCACAUGCUCCACUACUUGUGCGGGUCCCCGUCAAUUCAUUUGAGUUUUAACCUUGCGGUCGUACUCCCCAGGCGGGGUGUUUAUCGGUUUCCCUGCGACACUGAAAAUAAAUUUCCAACGUCUAACACACAUCGUUUACGGCAUGGACUACGAAGGGUAUU